rnacentral:rRNA from 1 species
UACGUAGGUGGUUUAGCAAGCGUGUGGUGAAAGACCGAAGCUCAACUUCGGUUAGCCUCGCGAACUGCUAGACUUGAGUGCAGGAGAGGAAAGUGGAAUUCCUAGUGUAGCGGUGAAAUGCGUAGAUAUUAGGAGGAACACCAGUGGCGAAGGCGACUUUCUGGACUGUAACUGACACUGAGGUACGAAAGCGUGGGGAGCAAACAGGAUUAGAUACCCUGGUAGUCC